rnacentral:rRNA from 1 species
GUACACUCCUACGGGAGGCAGCAGUGGGGAAUAUUGCACAAUGGGCGCAAGCCUGAUGCAGCCAUGCCGCGUGUAUGAAGAAGGCCUUCGGGUUGUAAAGUACUUUCAGCGGGGAGGAAGGUGUUGAGGUUAAUAACCUCAGCAAUUGACGUUACCCGCAGAAGAAGCACCGGCUAACUCCGUGCCAGCAGCCGCGGUAAUACGGAGGGUGCAAGCGUUAAUCGGAAUUACUGGGCGUAAAGCGCACGCAGGCGGUCUGUCAAGUCGGAUGUGAAAUCCCCGGGCUCAACCUGGGAACUGCAUUCGAAACUGGCAGGCUAGAGUCUUGUAGAGGGGGGUAGAAUUCCAGGUGUAGCGGUGAAAUGCGUAGAGAUCUGGAGGAAUACCGGUGGCGAAGGCGGCCCCCUGGACAAAGACUGACGCUCAGGUGCGAAAGCGUGGGGAGCAAACAGGAUUAGAAACCCGGGUAGUCCCAU